rnacentral:rRNA from 1 species
AGAGUUUGAUCCUGGCUCAGGACGAACGCUGGCGGCGCGCCUAACACAUGCAAGUCGAACGGAGCUUAGAGAGCUUGCUUUUUAAGCUUAGUGGCGAACGGGUGAGUAACGCGUGAGUAACCUGCCCUAGAGUGGGGGACGACAGUUGGAAACGACUGCUAAUACCGCAUAAGCCCACGGUGCCGCAUGACACUGAGGGAAAAGGAUUUAUUCGCUUUAGGAUGGACUCGCGUCCAAUUAGCUAGUUGGUGAGGUAACGGCCCACCAAGGCGACGAUUGGUAGCCGGACUGAGAGGUUGAACGGCCACAUUGGGACUGAGACACGGCCCAGACUCCUACGGGAGGCAGCAGUGGGGGAUAUUGCACAAUGGGGGAAACCCUGAUGCAGCAAUGCCGCGUGAGUGAAGAAGGCCUUCGGGUUGUAAAGCUCUUUUGUCAGGGAAGAAAAGGGCCAGGUUAAUACCCUGGUUUCAUGACGGUACCUGAAGAAUAAGCACCGGCUAACUACGUGCCAGCAGCCGCGGUAAUACGUAGGGUGCAAGCGUUGUCCGGAAUUACUGGGUGUAAAGGGAGCGCAGGCGGGAAGACAAGUUGGAAGUGAAAACCAUGGGCUCAACCCAUGAAUUGCUUUCAAAACUGUUUUUCUUGAGUAGUGCAGAGGUAGAUGGAAUUCCCGGUGUAGCGGUGGAAUGCGUAGAUAUCGGGAGGAACACCAGUGGCGAAGGCGGUCUACUGGGCACCAACUGACGCUGAGGCUCGAAAGCAUGGGUAGCAAACAGGAUUAGAUACCCUGGUAGUCCAUGCCGUAAACGAUGAUUACUAGGUGUUGGGGGAUUGACCCCCUCAGUGCCGCAGUUAACACAAUAAGUAAUCCACCUGGGGAGUACGACCGCAAGGUUGAAACUCAAAGGAAUUGACGGGGGCCCGCACAAGCAGUGGAGUAUGUGGUUUAAUUCGAAGCAACGCGAAGAACCUUACCAGGUCUUGACAUCCGAUGCAUAGCACAGAGAUGUGUGAAAUCCUUCGGGACAUCGAGACAGGUGGUGCAUGGUUGUCGUCAGCUCGUGUCGUGAGAUGUUGGGUUAAGUCCCGCAACGAGCGCAACCCUUAUUGCCAGUUACUACGUUAAGAGGACUCUGGCGAGACUGCCGUUGACAAAACGGAGGAAGGUGGGGAUGACGUCAAAUCAUCAUGCCCUUUAUGACCUGGGCUACACACGUACUACAAUGGCGUUAAACAAAGAGAAGCAAGACCGCGAGGUGGAGCAAAACUCAAAAACAACGUCUCAGUUCAGAUUGCAGGCUGCAACUCGCCUGCAUGAAGUCGGAAUUGCUAGUAAUCGCGGAUCAGCAUGCCGCGGUGAAUACGUUCCCGGGCCUUGCACAAAGCGCCCGUCA